rnacentral:rRNA from 1 species
GGGGGAGUAUUGCACAAUGGGGGAAACCCGUGAUGCAGCAACGCCGCGUGAAGGAAGAAGGUCUUCGGAUUGUAAACUUUUGUCUUUAGGGAAGAAACAAAUGACGGUACCUAAGGAGGAAGCCACGGCUAACUACGUGCCAGCAGCCGCGGUAAUACGUAGGUGGCAAGCGUUGUCCGGAUUUACUGGGUGUAAAGGGCGUGUAGACGGGACUGCAAGCCAGAUGUGAAAUUUAUGGGCUUAACCCAUAACCUGCAUUUGAAACUGUGGUUCUUGAGUGAUGGAGAGGUAAGCGGAAUUCCUAGUGUAGCGGUGAAAUGCGUAGAUAUUAGGAGGAACACCGGUGGCGAAGGCGGCUUACUGGACAUUAACUGACGUUGAGGCGCGAAAGUGUGGGGAGCAAACAGGAUUAGAUACCCUGGUAGU